rnacentral:rRNA from 1 species
CAGCAGCCGCGGUAAUACCAGCAGCCCAAGUGGUGGUCGCGUUUAUUGGGCCUAAAGCGCUCGUAGCCUGACCGGUAAGUUCCCCGUGAAAUCGGGUCGCCCAACGAUUCGGCUUGCGGGGAAUACUGUCGGUCUUGGGGCCGGGAGACACCGAGGGUACUCCGGGGGUAGCGGUGAAAUGCUGUAAUCCUCGGGGGACUACCAGUGGCGAAGGCGCUCGGCGAUAACGGGCCUGACGGUGAGGGGCGAAAGCUGGGGGCGCGAACGGGAUUAGAUACCCCUGUAGUCCCUGUCUCUUAUA